rnacentral:rRNA from 1 species
GAUGAACGCUGGCGGCGUGCCUAAUACAUGCAAGUCGAGCGAACAGACGAGGAGCUUGCUCCUCUGACGUUAGCGGCGGACGGGUGAGUAAAACGUGGAUAACCUACCUAUAAGACUGGGAUAACUUCGGGAAACCGGAGCUAAUACCGGAUAAUAUAUUGAACCGCAUGGUUCAAUAGUGAAAGACGGUUUUGCUGUCACUUAUAGAUGGAUCCGCGCCGCAUUAGCUAGUUGGUAAGGUAACGGCUUACCAAGGCAACGAUGCGUAGCCGACCUGAGAGGGUGAUCGGCCACACUGGAACUGAGACACGGUCCAGACUCCUACGGGAGGCAGCAGUAGGGAAUCUUCCACAAUGGGCGAAAGCAUGACGGAGCAACGCCGCGUGAGUGAUGAAGGUCUUCGGAUCGUAAAACUCUGUUAUUAGGGAAGAACAAAUGUGUAAGUAACUAUGCACGUCUUGACGGUACCUAAUCAGAAAGCCACGGCUAACUACGUG